CCACAACGGAAACUCCCUAGUUAUUAAUAAUAAUUGCAAUACUAUUUUUUUUUCCCUUCUGGGUGCUUUCCUGCUAGUCUGUUGAAGUUUGGUAAGCAUUAUAUUUAUUUAUUUGUUUGUUUGUUUGUUUGGCUUUUCAGGGCCUCACUGGAAGUAUAUGGAAGUUCCCAGGCUAAGGGUUGAAUCAGAGCUGUAGCUGCUGGCCUACGCAUGGUCACAGAAAUGCCAACAGAUCUGCCACAUCUGCUACCUACACCACAGCUCAUGGCAAUGCCAGACCCUUAACCCAUUGAGCGGAGCCAGGGAUCGAGCCCACGUCCUCAUGGAUACUAGUCAAUUUUGUUUCUUCUGAACCACAACAGGAACUCCCAGAACUAUAUUUAGAACAAAGCAAAUGUCCUCUGAAUUCAAACCUCAAGUCAGUAGUGACUAACCAUAAGAUAGAUUUGUUCAAUUAUAAUUCUUUAUUCACUGUUACAUAUUAAGUUAUUAAUAUCCCAUUAUGGCAUCCUAUGUUAAUUCUCCCAAUCACUUAUAUAGCAUGAAGAACAAAGAAAUGUUCAUACUAUAUAAUACUUCUUUGUGAUUUUAUGACACCACUUUGCUCAUUUGCUCUUAUGGUAUCCAUUCAACUCAUGAUAUAAAUACAAAUUUGAAAUGUGGUAAGUUACUCUCAUGUGAUAUUAAAAUAAUUAGACACACAAAACUGACCAAAAUAAGAUGAAUUCUAGAAAAAAAAAAGAAAAAAAAAAAAAAAAAAAAAAAAAAAAAAAAUUUUUAAAAAAAAAAAAAAAAGCACAGGUGUCAGACUGGCUAAUGGGGUUAUGAUGGAGGUGUGGGAAGAUAGAAAAGUUAAAAAAACAAAAAACAAAAAAAAAAACAGGUGACCAAAUGGGGCAGAGUUUGAAUAAGAGGCAUUGGUGGUAUGCUCAGGUCAGAAGUUAAAACAAGAAUGAAGUUAGUGACUCCUUUCUCUAGUAGCUAGACAGGGAAGGGUAGGUUCCAUCCCUCUUUGGGCUAUCAUGUCCUCAUUUGUAAAAUGCAUAUUUUAUUAGUGCGCAUAUACAGAGGACAUCCUCUGUAAAAUUAUUCCUACUUUAAAAACUCUGUCGCUCUGAGAUAUUGAGGUAUCAGAUGGUAUUGAGGAUGGCAGAAAGUACAAUUAUAGAGUCAGCAAGCAGAAGUCAAAACCUGAAAAGUCAAGAGGUUAGUUAAAGGCAGCAGGAGGGAUUUUUCCAGGAAGCAGAUUACACAGCUAAUCCUUAUGAUAUAGGUUGAAUUGUGUCCCCCAAAUGACAUGUCUGAGUCCUAACCCCUAGCAUCUGUAAACGUGACCUUAUUUGAAAAUAGGGUCCUUGCAGAUGUAAUCAAGUUAAGGUGAGGUCAUAAGGGGUCAGUGUGGACCUUAAUACAGUGACUGGUGUCUUUAUAAGAACAGGGAAACUUGGACACUCAGCUAUACACAGAAGAGAAGCCCACAUGAGGAUGGAAACA
rnacentral:lncRNA from 9 species